AUAAAUGUAUGGAUUUUAUUAGCAUGUGUAUAUUAUUUACCUUUGAAUUAAUUUUGCUCUUGUCCUAUUCUUGAGCUAUCCUUCAAUUGGUAUUUUUAUGUGUAUCUACUAUGUGCUUUCCCACUGCAUUAGGAAUAAAAUUUAAAUUCCUCACUCUGGCAUUUCUCUGACCACAACUCCAGCCAUUCUGCUUUGCUCACUUUGCUCUGGCCACUCUGAAGUCCUUUUAGUUCUUUGAAUACAGAAAGUCUGUAUUCAAAGCUUUGCAUUUGAAUACAGGAUUUUGUAUAUGCAGUUUCUAUCUGGAGCUUUCUCCCCUCCCAUACUCCCUUCCCUACCCCAAAUUCUUCACCUGGCUGAUAUUAAUUUCCGUCCUUCAAUGCUCAACUCAAAGGACACUCUCUCUGAGAAUUCUGUCCUGAGCACCCAAAGGACAGUAUAAGGGAUUUCCCCCACUCAAUGUUGUCUUGCAUACAUAACUCUUUACAGGGACCACAGUUUGUAAUACUGUAAUAAUGUUUGCAUUUAUUUCAUGUCUAAUUUCCUUAGGAGACUAUCAAUUUCAUGAUGAAGGUGUAACGAAUCAUUGCUAUAUUUCUAGUAUUAAGCAUAGUUGAAUAAUGAGUUAAUGAUUCUAUUGUGGUAGAUUCAGUAGGGCUAAGAAAUGUUAAUUAAAUAUGGACUAUUCCCUUAAAAUUUUAUUUUCUAGUAAGGGAAUAAGGCAUACAGAUAAAGUGCUAUAAAAUGUAGAAAGUAAUUCGUGUCUCAAUAAAAGUGUAGAUGAGUAUUGUAUUAGUUUCUUAGAGCUGCUGUGACAAGUACCACAAAUUUGUUAUAUUUAUUAUAUAUUUAUUAUAUUGGGUACUGUCAAAGGCAUGAUACCAGGAACAAAAUUUAACAGUUUUGGAGGCUACAAGUCCAAAAUCAAGUUGUCAGCAAGGUCACUACAGGUGGUAAGUAAAUUUGGUGGUUAGGGGAGAGUGGAUUGUUUCUGUCCAGGUCAAAGAAAGAAGGAUUCAUGAAAUUAAUAACAUUGGAAAAGAACUUGUUAGGAUGGGUUGGUUUUGCAUAUGAAAAAAUUGAAUGAUGGACAUUCCAGAUGCUGGAACAAUAUGAAUAAAGGUAAGUGAGAGAACUUGGCCUGAGUAUAUAGUACAUAUAACCGGGUAGGUGAUAAUUAACUAAGAAAUGGGAUUAGAGUUAGAUUUUAGGAUGUCAUGUAUAUUGAUUAGUGAUUGUUAUACAUAGAAUUAUUGAAAGUUUUGUCUGAACAAAGGCGACAUAAUCUUAGUGCUCCUGUUUUAGAAAAGUUAAUGGGGCAGCAGUGUUUAGGAUAAACUGAUCUCCCUGCUCCAUCUCUUCCAAUUAGGAGAUUUUUGCAAGCAAGAGAAGAUAAAAUCCUGACUAGAACAGAGAUAUCAAAGAAAGAGAAUGAGACUUGGCCACUUACUGGACAUCUAGGAGGAAGAAGAGGAAAGAAUGAUAUAUUUUGAAUAAAGAUGUCCUAGGGAAUUGGAGUUAGAAAAGCUAGGAUAGUCAAAAGGAGGAUGGUUUUUAGGUAGAGGAAUAAAUUUAGCUUUGAUAUACUGACUCAGAGAAACUAGAGCGAUUUCUAGUUGAAGAUUUAAAUAAGGAUGUUGGAAAUAUAGGACUAAAGUUUUGAAGACAUAUCAGGAUGGGAGGUAUAAAUUUCUGAGUUAUCCAUGUGAAGUAAUUGAAGUCAUGUAAUUCUGAGAAGCUGUGUCAAGUCAUGAGAAAAGUAUGAAUGUGGAGUAUGACAGACGUGAUCACACUCUGUGUCUACUAUUUACCUGUUGUAUAACCUGGGGCAAAUUGCUUAACUCCAUCAUUUUCUCAUAUAUAAGGAAGAAGAUAAUUUUAUCCCUUAAUUAGGAUUACAUGAGUUAAAUGCUUAAAAGCUCUGCCAUGUUUAAGCUGCUUUUAUAUUUUGGGGCAUAAUUCUCAAUAAGAAAUACACUUAUUUUGCCAUCUAGUAUCUUAAAAAUAUGUGAUGUGCUUUAAAAAAUAUUUAUUUUCCUGUGAUUCUAGUACAUGUGAUCUUUUAAACUUUCAUGGCCUACUAAUGAGUUACAACCCACACUUUGGAAAACUGAUCCUCCCAUACAUUAUGGUUGUCAUCCAAUUCCUCCUCUAGUCACUGGCCCCAACAAGCAUUCUGAAAUCACACCAAUACUAUUCAAUGUUCUCUUGACUUUCAUUUAUUACUCCCUCUUCAUAGGCUUCUUGCUAGUAUCACAUUAUUCCUUCAUGGCCCAGAAAAAAAUGAUAACCAUUUACUUCCUCUGCUAUACCAUAUAACGUUUUGUCUAUAAGAAACAUGUGCUUUUCCCAGAUAAAUUAUGAAUUCCUUCAUAACAGAAAAUAUGUGUUAUUUAUCUGUGUUUUUUGGUAAAAUAUUUUGUUCAUAGGAGGCACAGAAUAUUAAUUCAUUAUUAUAAAGAAAAGGGAGAAGAGGUUUGAAAAGAGAACUUUGCUGGACAUCUACAUCUAGGACCCUGCUCUGGUAUCACCAUGUCUCGAUUCCUCCAUCUUCUCUAUAUGCCAAAGCUUCCAUGGAAUUUUUAAAGGGCAGAACUAUUGUCUCUUUGUCUUUGAGGCACAAAGACUCAGGCCACUGACUUUCAGUAUAUGGCGGAGAGAGGGAAGGCCUGGAUGGGUUAAUUAAAAUAAUGGAAGAAACUAGAAAAUGUACAGAAUUUAGCUUUGGGUAAAAUAACAGAAAGGCUUUGGAUUGGUAAAUGACAGAAUCCAAUGAAAGCAAUGUGAAACAAAUGACCAGAGCAAGUAAUUCAUUUUAAAAUAUUAAAGCUUAUUUCUUUUUUUUUUUUUUCUGACUCUGGAAAACGUGCCUCUGAUGGAAAUGACCCUGGUAACGGUGACAUUCUGACACCAUGCAUGGUGCACACCCUUGGGAAGUUUGAAUUCCACGUCACAACGGCUCUGCUCAGAUUACUGGUUUCAUCAUGCCUGACUCGUUGCUCAACCAAAGGCAUGAUACCAGGAACAAAAUUUAAAAAACAAAAACAAAAACAAACAAACAAACAAACAGAAACCUCUUUUGAUAUCAACCAACGUUUUCAGGAUACUCCUUUAUAUAUGAAUUUGAGAUUUUGAUGAAAGGGACUACAGUUCAACAAGUCUCAAUAAAUGAACCCAAGGCAAUUUGCUCCUCAGGAAACAUUUCUCAGACCCUGACUGUAGAGAAAAGGUUGAAGCCUCAGAUUGUAAAUUCAGAUAGACUACCACGUCUAGGUCUCUAAGGAUGAACCAUGAUGGUGGUCAAUAUACUUUGUGUAACGUUUGUGCCCUACCCUGUGCCUCAAUUUACUUAUUUAAAAAUGAAGCGAUUAGACUUUGUUUCUUACAUCCUUUCCCACUAUAAUAUUUGGCAAUGCUCUGCCCUUACAUUUGCCUAAACUUUUUAAUCUUAAAAUAUAUAAAAUGUUUUUUAUAAAAUUCUUUUAUGUCAUUAAAUGUUAUUGAACAUGAUAACAGUACAAUUCACUAAGCCUAAAUUUCAUCAUUUUAGUAUUGCCUCAGAGGUCAAGUUUUAUGAGAGCCUUAAUUUGCAUCACCAGAAGCUCAUUUAAUAAAAAUGAAAGAAUCCCUUUUGGAAAUAAAUUUUAAAAAGUGAUGGUGGGGAAGAGGGACAGAGAAAUAUAUGUAAAAAAGAAAACAAACAGGAAACUGAACUUAGAAGGUGUCAAAUGGUUCUGAGUUCUAAAGAAUAUUGUGGUCAUGUUAGUGUUGAAAAGCUGGUCCUAGCAUUUUAUGCACUAAAAGUACAUUCUGUUAGUGGUUCCUUCCCAAAUCCCUGGCCUCUUGACCCAAUAUUUAUUGUACCACUUGUCCCGUUUCCCUGAAACAAAAUCUAUCAUAUGGCAAUAAGGCAAACUGAGGUAUCAGAGCAUCAUCUAUCCUGGAAUUGGGCAUAUUUAUCCGUGGAGUCGACUCUAGCAUGUGGAAUAUAAAACACAUAACUUAAGUGGAAAACUGCUGAAGACCAUUUCAUAGGUGAAAAGGAUGUGGUAUGAAUGGGCAAUUCUCACUUUGGUCAGGAAAAAGAAAUGUAAAGUCAAUGAGGUAAGGGGCUGGGAGACGGAUGCCUCGUAUGAUAUGAUAAGCAGAAAGGUUGUGUUUGGCAAAUUCCUUGGCCACCUUCUUCCUGACUGUCAAAAACUGUAUUCAACCUGUGUUUAUAAUAAAUAUUCUCUGAUAGCAUGAACCCUGGAUUUCUGACUUUUAAAAAGUUUUGAAAUUAAACUAAUAACAGCUGUUUCAUGAUUACAUAUUAUUGUAUCAAGGGUUAGGAAUUACAAAAAUGAGUAAGAAAGAGCCCCUGCUCUUAGAGACCUUACUGUCUGUGGGUUUGAACUGUUGUAGUUAUGACAACAAUAACAAUAAUCAUCAUUUAUUCACUGAUAUCAGCCAGGCACCAUGCUCAGUGGACGACAUACACAAACUGCCAAAGUCUCCUUCGUUUCACCGAUGCAAUGACAGUGAGGUGACCUUGCUCUGUCCAUGCAUCAUCUCUUAACAAAAAUGAACUUAGCAGGAAUUCACACCAUAGGCAGAGACAUGUAAGCAACUCCAGAACUGUCUACUCUCAACACACAAGAACUACAGUCAACAAAAAUGCAGUGAACUGGAGUGAAAAAUGGAAGCAAUUGUCUGAAUCACCUUUAGUGUACUCUGUUGAUUGGGGGCUGUGACACUCUAAAAACCAUGAUGCAGUAGACUCCACAUCUGGCAUUCCAACAAUGGAAGGUUAAGUGUUUUAAGACUCUUAGUGAAAAAACUUGCAAUACAUUAACUGUAAAACUGAGGAAGACAUCAUAAGCUUCUGGAUUUUAUUACCAAAAUGUACAUUUUGAUCUAAAAUUAAAAAUAAAAACAGAUUGACUUUCCUUGUAGUAUUUCACAA